GAAAGCAAUUUGAGCUCUUUAAGAGAAACUCCUCCCCUAUUCCCAUCCAGCACUACAUUAUGUCUUUCUAAAACUGGAGGGGUAGCCUGUUUUCUCUCUUUCUGUCUAUAUAACAUAUCACAAACAGUGAGAAGACAUAGGGUGACAGAACUGUGUGUUCCCAGAAAAGCUGGUGGAAAAAAAAAAAGAAAGGAAGUAAGAUUACAGAGUUGGUUUGAACAGCAGAAAGGUAACCUCUGUUGGCUUCACACAAACACUAACCAAUCUGUGAAUCACCAAUUCCCUAUGAGAUAUAAGCUGAAUUUGUGGGCAAGCCUUCUAAGGCCAGUCCUUCUAAGGGGAGGAAAAAGGGUCUUGUCUCAAGAAUCAAGUAAAGUGAAAUGCACCAUUCCAACUCUUUGUAAGGUUGAAUGAGGGUAUCAGUGUGCUAGAUGGCAGGGAAGCAGGAUUGGAACUCCAGACCCAGGCCCAGGAGCACAGCACAGUCUGGACAACUAAAGGAAAGGUAAAUGUGAUCAUGGCAUGACAUAGGGGCAACAAACUCUAACUAGAAGUCUUCCAUGGCAACUACUUCAAAAUAAAAGCAAGUCCUCACUUAACAUUGUAGAUUAGUUCUUGGAAACCAAGACUU